AAGUCGAAUUGUAACAAUGGCCUCGCCAAGGCCAUGCCGAGAAGAUCAUUGUAGGCUUCUCAAAAAGUUUGUCCGUGUGAAAUGGACACCUUGAACCAUGGCCAUCUGCGUUGGAAGAUCGGAUACACCUUGAGAAACCUGGCUUUCAAUAUCUCGUAGCAUUUGUGCAUUGUGGACGUGGAUGUAGUGCCAGCGGCGACGAGAUUGCCACGCAAUGUACUCCUGUGGUGAGAAGGUACUGCCGAGCUCGACCGGCUUGAAGCCCAUUUGUUCCCAGAACACAACUCUCGGCGUCAAGUCUGAGAUGGUUAGGGUCAGGGUUGGGGUUCGCGUCAUCGACGCCCCAAGCACUUGUUGUUGUGCAAAUUCCAUCUCAUUGUCAAUGGCCUUGAUCUCUACCAUAGUCUCGGCACAGGUGUCAGCCUGGCCAAGAUCCUCAAGAUGCUCAUCGAUCUCUGGGAUUGCGGCCAAAACCAAGCUAACCGUAUCCCAAAACGCAGCGUCGUCCACGAUGGACGCAUCCCUGUUAGCAGCCUCCAGCACGGACUUGACGUCCCGAAGAACUGCUUUUUGACAUACCGCGAGUUUCUUUUUGAUGGUCGGUACUGAGGGAGUUGCCAUGGUUGCCUCAACGUCCCAGUCCUGACCGAAAGUAUGUACUGAGGGAGAUGACGACCUCAACUUCCCAGUGAUAGUGAAAGGCUCCGUCCAAGAAAACCAAAAGUGCAGUGUGGUGAGUGUUAUCCAAGGUCAAAUCCGGGAGCUAGAGGCUCUGUAAACCCGUUGGACGCAGUCUGUCAACGGGACAACUACUGCGCCAUGUAAGGAUGGAAGUGGAAGAAGCAGGGUUUUAUUUAUGGAAGUGAUUCCCCUUGUUUAUUUUGCUUCAACAUAUAGUAUUCUUGGAUCAUCCCUCAAUACAUCUGCACUCGAUGUUCGAGGUCAACUCUUUUUCUAUUCAGCUGACUAACAAAUAAAGACUUGUCAUUCUGCUCUCUCACUUACUGGAUCGUUUCCUUUCUUUCCCCGCACUUCCUGCUUCGUCCACUUCCAUCCUUACACUAUUUAUGGGACACCCGGCAUGUAUUUGAUCGACCAACGAAGUAUAGUUUGCUGAUUUGACUAAUUCUUGAAAAUAAGAUUGAUCCGGAAUUUUAGAGAAAAACUUGUCCAAGUUUGACUUAAAUCCUGCCACUGGAUCAACACCUAUUUACGGCCUACGAAUAUUUGAGGCCAGCAAAUUGAACAAUGAAGGGGCCUGAGAAAGAAGACAGUUGGACUUCAUUGGUUUCAUUGUUUAACUAGCUCGUAUUCUCGAGGGCAGGUGCUCUCAAAACGCACGCUAAGCCUCUACGGUCACAAAGACCGGUUGUGGUGUUUGGUGUUUUUUUCUUUACUCUAUGUGCCUUUUAUCAUUUGGUGCACCUUUUAAGGGUACAGUUUCUUGCCACAUUGAUGUUGGUUGUGCUUUAAAACCCGUUUUCGUAUGCUUUGUUUGAGCAUCUUAUCUUUUCAUUUAGUGUGCCUUUUUUUUCUCCUGGAUUGCACUUUUUCAAAUUCAAUGUGCCAGUGUAUACUUUUGAUGUGCUACAAAUACUUUUUCGUGUCCUCACUUUGAUGUGUGACUUUAUUGCGCCCAAUGAUCCAGAAUUUAUAAAGGCUGAAGUAUUUGUUUUUCUAUUUCGGCAAAAUAAAAUGAUUUCAAAUCUUCUGGGAAAUCUGGCACAAAUAACAUUAAGGCUAUUUAGGACAUUGAAAUGGAGGUCUCUUGUAAAUUUGUUAAGCCCCGUAUUUUUGCUAAAUGUGAUUUUAUUUUGUCUUUGAAGAUAAUUACUUUGUUGCUUUGAAGUAGCACUCAAUAUUAGAACUACAAUAAAUAUCAUUGAAACAAGCCUGCAUGUUAAACAAGUGUAACAGUUCUGCUUCCCCUUCCAAUAGUUCUUCAGCUCUUCUGGUGCUCAGUUCAAAUUCUAAGUCAAAACUGCAUGCUUUGGCUGAGAAAACUCGUUAUUUCCCCUAUUUUCUAACCGAAAAUUGCCGUUUUGAUAUUAGCCUUUAAAUAAUCUAAAUUCCCGACUCGUUAAUCGCUACCAAGCAUUGUGCUAGAAAAUUUAGUACAUAUGGGAAAUCUGGUGCAAUUCAAAUCGUUAAAAAAAAUUGAAUUUCGACACACUAUUUGAGAAUGGGUCAGAUUGAGAUAACCCUUGUCUUAAUACUUUCUUGCACAUCGGAUACCCAUAUAUAGUUGGUUGCGGCUGAAGUGUAAGAAUCCUCACAAAUCUAUCACAUAUUCAAUAUUUACAAUCAGUUGGGACAUUUCGGCGGGAAAAGAAGAAAGACAGCCCUUUCCGCACUCUUAUUCAGUAUGUCAUAUCAGGUAUUGUUCAUAGUAUCCCAUAGCUAGGGAAAGCCUAUUCAUCGCCGUGACAAUAGGGCACAGAAUAAAUGAGCAAGCCCUCUCUUGCAAAUUGAAAAUCACAAGAAGCUAGGCUAACACAUUUGUUUUGUCUAAUUAUGUAACAAUGCUUAAAAGCCAUGACUUUUGAGCAAGUUUUUUUGAUAGAGCUGAAAAUAGUUGUCUCUCUACCCUUACGUCUCUUGUCAAUAUUAUAGGCUUUCAUGGGUGAAUUGACCUGACAAACACCUGCUGACCUCAUCAUAAAUCUGUUACUGAAUAGACCCUGUAAUGCUAAUUAUAACGUAUGUAAAUUUAAAAAAAGAAGCGUGACACUCUGGGAUCCUCGGGCAUGGAUUUAGGUGAAAGAAAAUUCAUCAGAAAAGGCAAAUUCAAGACUUAAUAUGGCUACUUAAAAUUGAAGACUCCUGUCUAUCAUCCAUUCACUUGACCUUUGUCGAUACUUAUUCGCAUUGGAUGAAUUGUGGAAUGUUGGGAAAUUACAAUUUCAUCGUCAAGUCAGCACUGUUAAGUAGCGACGAGAAAAUCUGAAAUGCUAAGUGUGAGCCAAUUUUCGUAAUUAAUUCCCUCGCCAUCCCUUUGGUGGCUACUUGAAAUUGAAUGUCAAUCUUUCAUCCACCAUUCAACCAUCAUCUAUGACCUCGAAGAUAAUAUCUAACAAUUUAAAUAUUUUUUCGUGCAGAAAUUUGAGACGAAUAAGUGUUGGAACUUUUUUUUCAGUGGUUUCUUGUACCCUCAUUUGUUGUUUGGGUUAUAGCGUAUCUUCGGACUCGCUUUGGACCUCAUCUGUUGUGCCACCUACUACUAUAGCAUGAUUAAGUCAAUAUUCAUCCACUUCAUUCUCAAUGUCCUUUAAUACCUGGCUGUCUGACAGUUUGCACUAUGAAAGGCACAAUUCAUUAGCAUGUGUUUAAAUAUCAGUCUCUGAGCCCGAACAAACUAGUUGUAGGUUCCUUCUUUCAUAGGCUUCAACAAAUUCAAUUGGAUUUGAACUUGACUUGAUGCCACUGAGCGGGUGCACGCCAACGAAGAGUGGCCCCCAAUUAAUGUGUGAUAUGCCCCUUUCAGUGCACCUCCCCUUCCAAUCCUUCCUCUUCCCAUAUUCCCAGGCCCACGUUUUUUUCAAAACGUGAGCUUCUAGCCCUCGAACCCUUUUCCCAACCAUCCCUUCCUUUUUCCCUCUCUCAAUGGCCAUGGUAAUCGCUCUUUUCUAGGACGGAUUGAACUACUCGGUAUCGCGAGGAAUCAGCAUCGGCGGCAACAGCGGAUCAAGCGGAGAAGAGGGAAUCAACUGGUGUCGGCCUGUUUCCUCAAUUGUCAUAGACGGGCGAACAUGCUGCGAGUGGCUGGAGUUGCACAGUGUCUCAAUAAGAUCUGAGGACACGCUUUCACCUUCUUAUCAUAGACGUACUUGGUACAGCUUUACCAUCGAGAGCUGAGGGACCAAAUGCUCCAAAAACUGCGAACUGCAAAAUGAGCCUAACACAGGAGAAUUGGGAGCAAUAUACGAUAUCAAGAAUUGCAUAUCACAAGUAUCUGAGUAGCGCCAAGUCAGACCACCAAAGGUUGGAAGUGGAGAACCUACUCUCUUCCUCGGCCUCGUCUAGGAUGGUGGGCUUGUACAAACGUGCCAAAAAGCCCGCCACCAACUCGGAGAAUCCCGUGUGCAAAUUCCUCCUCAUCUGUCAAGAACUGUUUGCAUCAACAUCAGAAACAGUAGUGGAGGAGGUCCAGGGCUCCCCAGAAGAACACCAUCCUCUUUUGCAGCCCUUCACGGAACCCGAGAUGGACGUGGCCUUCAAGAAGAUGAAGACUAAAGCCUCCUCAAUAUCUGGGUUCUCUCUCUUUCAACUUUCACUUCUCCGGAUCCAAGCCCAGCCACUCCUCGAAGAAAUCUUCGCCCUUGUCCUCCAUUCUUCCUUCUUCCCACCAGCGUGGAUGGAGUCAGCCAUCAUCAUCAUCCAUAAGGAGGGGCCCAGGGACAUUCCAGACAACCAUCAGACCAUCGCCCUGGAGAACCCCUUCUUGAAUAUGAUGUCCUCCCUACUAGCUGCCCUCUUCUCCAGAUUGACCAAGGAUAGUGAUCUCCUUCCCAAGUUCCAAUUCGGUUUCUGGAGAAGCUGCUUAACCACCACAGCAGGUACUCUCCUCUACCGGGUAUUUCAUCACUAUUGCCCCAUCACUAAUUUCCUAUUUGAUGCAAGGCUGUGUGAAAUAAAAUAAAUUAUUCCGAUGAAAAUCGACAGCUGACACUCUUAGCCCUUGAGUGAUGUCCUCAACUUGGCAAUGGGAUUGGUAACAUUGAUGGAGCAAGCAAAUCGGAUGGGAUUGGCCGCGCUUCUCCAUGCAGGGAUGGCUCAAACGGACAUCGCCAAGCAGCUUAACGUGGACUGCAAGACCAUCGAUUGUGCCAAGAAGCGUCUUCAAAAUGAGGAAUCCAUGGACAGGAAGCCUGGCGGUGGCAGGCCGGUAGAAAAUAUAAUCCGCUGAGAUCAAGAACGCAGUGAUGGCCAACCCCAUGAAGUCCAUCAGGUCUGAUGUAAUUGACUUGGGCGUGUCCAUGGACACUGUGAGCAGAGCCAUCAGAAUGGAAGGAGGGAAGUCCUUGGUGAUGAAGAAGAAACUGCUCCUCACACCAGUUGUCAAAGAACAGCAUCUUCUUUGUUGUAAAGGACUUUUGAACAACCUGAAGUCCACUGCCGCCGGCCGAGUUAUCCUGUUCUCAGACGAGAAGACGUGGACAGUUGAUCCCGUUCACAACCAGAUAAAUGGCCGAUUCGUUGGCUUUGGAAAUCCAGAGGGUGGCUACCGCCUCACCGCCGCAGACUACAUCAUUGAACUUGAGACAAAGUUCCUGCCGUGGAUCAGGGCCAACUUCCCUGAUAACAAUGUUGUGCUCCAGCGAGACGGCGCACCUGUCCACGUGGCAAAAAUAACUCAGAGGUUCCUGGAGGACAAAAUUGCUUUUUGGGACAAGAACAUGUGGCCGCCAUACUCGCCCGAUGUGAAUCCCCUCGACUUUGCCUUUU